UUUCGGAACCCGUGAUUAGGGCAGGGCAAUAUGAACUAAAUCUUAUGUCUCGAUAUGUUUUACCUGAAUUACGAUAUACGAUAUAUAUCUC